GACGAACGCUGGCGGCGUGCUUAACACAUGCAAGUCGAACGGUAAGGCCCUUCGGGGUACACGAGUGGCGAACGGGUGAGUAACACGUGGGUGAUCUGCCCUGCACUUCGGGAUAAGCCUGGGAAACUGGGUCUAAUACCGGAUAGGACUCCGGACUGCAUGGUCUGGGGUGGAAAGCUUUUGCGGUGUGGGAUGGGCCCGCGGCCUAUCAGCUUGUUGGUGGGGUGAUGGCCUACCAAGGCGACGCCGGGUAGCCGGCCUGAGAGGGUGACCGGCAACACUGGGAGUGAGAUACGGCGCAGACGCCUACGGGAGGGAGCAGGGGGGAAUAUUGCACAAUGGGCGCAAGCCUGAUGCAGCGACGCCGCGUGAGGGAUGACGGCCUUCGGGUUGUAAACCUCUUUCAGCAUCGACGAAGCGAAAGUGACGGUAGGUGCAGAAGAAGGACCGGCCAACUACGUGCCAGCAGCCGCCGUAA
rnacentral:rRNA from 1 species